rnacentral:rRNA from 1 species
AUGAACGCUGGCGGCGUGCCUAAUACAUGCAAGUCGAGCCAACAGACGAGGACCUUGCUCCUCUGACGUUAGCGGCGGACGGGUGAGUAACACGUGGAUAACCUACCUAUAAGACUGGGAUAACUUCGGGAAACCGGAGCUAAUACCGGAUAAUAUAUUGAACCGCAUGGUUCAAUAGUGAAAGACGGUUUUGCUGUCACUUAUAGAUGGAUCCGCGCCGCAUUAGCUAGUUGGUAAGGUAACGGCUUACCAAGGCCACGAUGCGUAGCCGACCUGAGAGGGUGAUCGGCCACACUGGAACUGAGACACGGUCCAGACUCCUACGGGAGGCAGCAGUAGGGAAUCUUCCGCAAUGGGCGAAAGCCUGACGGAGCAACGCCGCGUGAGUGAUGAAGGUCUUCGGAUCGUAAAACUCUGUUAUUAGGGAAGAACAAAUGUGUGAGUAACUAUGCACGUCUUGACGGUACCUAAUCAGAAAGCCACGGCUAACUACGUG